rnacentral:rRNA from 1 species
AUUGAACGCUGGCGGCAUGCCUUACACAUGCAAGUCGGACGGCAGCGCGGGGCAACCUGGCGGCGAGUGGCGAACGGGUGAGUAAUAUAUCGGAACAUACCCUAGAGUGGGGGAUAACGUAGCGAAAGUUACGCUAAUACCGCAUACGCACUAAGGUGGAAAGUGGGGGAUCUUCGGACCUCAUGCUCAUGGAGUGGCCGAUAUCUGAUUAGCUAGUUGGUGAGGUAAAGGCUCACCAAGGCGACGAUCAGUAGCUGGUUUGAGAGAACGACCAGCCACACUGGAACUGAGACACGGUCCAGACUCCUACGGGAGGCAGCAGUGGGGAAUUUUGGACAAUGGGGGGCAACCCUGAUCCAGCAAUGCCGCGUGAGUGAAGAAGGCUCGGUGUAAGACUCUUUGUCUAGGGAAGAAACGGUA